rnacentral:rRNA from 1 species
GACGAACGCUGGCGGCGCGCUUAACACAUGCAAGUCGAGCGAGAACCAGGCCUUCGGGCCUGGGGAAAGCGGCGAACGGGUGAGUAACACGUGGGUAACCCACCCUUGGUACCGGGAUAGCCCGGGGAAACCCGGAUUAAUACCGGAUGGCCCAACAGCUCUUCGGGGCGGUUGGAAAAGGUAGCUUCGGCCUCCGACCAAGGACGGGCCCGCGGCGGAUUAGCUUGUUGGCGGGGUAACGCCCACCAAGGCAACGAUCCGUAGCUGGUCNGAGAGGACGAUCAGCCACACUGGGACUGAGACACGGCCCAGACUCCUACGGGAGGCAGCAGUGGGGAAUAUUGCACAAUGGGCGCAAGCCUG